AACGAACGCUGGCGGCAGGCUUAACACAUGCAAGUCGAGCGCCCACUUCGGUGGGAGCGGCAGACGGGUGAGUAACACGUGGGAAUCUACCCAUCUCUACGGAACAACUCCGGGAAACUGGAGCUAAUACCGUAUACGCCCUUUGGGGGAAAGAUUUAUCGGAGAUGGAUGAGCCCGCGUUGGAUUAGCUAGUUGGUGGGGUAAAGGCCUACCAAGGCGACGAUCCAUAGCUGGUCUGAGAGGAUGAUCAGCCACACUGGGACUGAGACACGGCCCAGACUCCUACGGGAGGCAGCAGUGGGGAAUAUUGGACAAUGGGCGCAAGCCUGAUCCAGCCAUGCCGCGUGAGUGAUGAAGGCCCUAGGGUUGUAAAGCUCUUUCACCGGUGAAGUUAAUGACGGUAACCGGAGAAGAAGCCCCGGCUAACUUCGUGCCAGCAGCCGCCGUAAAAC
rnacentral:rRNA from 1 species